ACACGACUACAUUAGAUACCCCCGUAGUCCAGGGUGUAAACGCUGCGGGCUUGGUGUUGGGGGUCCUUUGAGGGCGCCCAGUGCCGGAGAGAAGUUGUUAAGCCUGCUGCUUGGGGAGUACGUCCGCAAGGAUGAAACUUAAAGGAAUUGGCGGGGGAGCACCGCAACGGGAGGAGCGUGCGGUUCAAUUGGAUUCAACGCCGGAAAUCUUACCGGGACCGACAGCAACAUGAAGGCCAAGCUGAAGACUUUGCCGGAUUAGCUG
rnacentral:rRNA from 1 species